UACGGAGGGUGCGAGCGUUGUCCGGAAUCACUGGGCGUAAAGGGCGCGUAGGCGGCAGGCCAAGCGUGUGGUGAAAGCCCGGGGCUCAACCCCGGGUCGGCCAUGCGGACUGGCGUGCUUGAGCACUGUAGGGGCGGGUGGAAUCCGGGUGUAGCGGUGAAAUGCGCAGAUAUCAGGAGGAACACCGGUGGCGAAGGCGGAUCUCCGUGGGCCUUACCUGACGCUGAGGAGCGAAAGCGUGGGGAGCGAACAGG
rnacentral:rRNA from 1 species